UACGUAGGGUGCGAGCGUUGUCCGGAAUUACUGGGCGUAAAGGGCUCGUAGGUGGCCAACUAAGUCAGACGUGAAAUCCCUCGGCUUAACCGGGGAACUGCGUCUGAUACUGGAUGGCUUGAGUUUGGGAGAGGGAUGCGGAAUUCCAGGUGUAGCGGUGAAAUGCGUAGAUAUCUGGAGGAACACCGGUGGCGAAGGCGGCAUCCUGGACCAAUACUGACACUGAGGAGCGAAAGCCAGGGGAGCAAACGGG
rnacentral:rRNA from 1 species